rnacentral:rRNA from 1 species
UACGUAGGGCGCAAGCGUUGUCCGGAAUUAUUGGGCGUAAAGAGCUCGUAGGCGGCUUGUCACGUCGGAUGUGAAAGCCCGGGGCUUAACUCCGGGUCUGCAUUCGAUACGGGCAGGCUAGAGUUCGGUAGGGGAGAUCGGAAUUCCUGGUGUAGCGGUGAAAUGCGCAGAUAUCAGGAGGAACACCGGUGGCAAAGGCGGAUCUCUGGGCCGAUACUGACGCUGAGGAGCGAAAGCGUGGGGAGCGAACAGG